GAAAAAUAUUCAUUCAAUUGAGAAACAAACACUGUGUUCUUCUUCAAUGGGAAGGUGGAAAAUCGGACUCCAUAUCUCUUCAAGGAGAUACAGACUUGGAUCAUGAAGAGGUUUCAUGCCAAUCCAAGCACAAACAUUGAACUGAAAUAUCUGUCAGAGCUGUCUAUUGGGGAAUCAGAACUUUCAUCCCUUUUCUUAGGAAUCAGAACUUCAGUUAAGGUUAUUUAUCUAUCAGGAAACCUUUCUUUCUGAAACUUUCAUUAAUUUAAUCUUUGAACUUGCAGAGUGAUCAUCUAAACCUGGUCAUCGUACACUUGAAGGAUUUGAGCUCAUUGUGUUCUGUACUUUAAGGAAACUGUUAGAGAACUUCAUCCAAGUUUGUCGUAGUCUGAAGAAUCACAUAGCAUAAUUACUGAUACACUUAAGCAGCUGGAGUCUGCUGUAUUCAGAUUGCGAGAGCUUAAGCUUCAGAGAUGCAGAAGACCCAGGAGCAACAAAAUCGCGCUAAAACCAGCAUACUGGAACCUCUUUUCCACACAACUUCAACAAUGUCAGCAGCAGUGGAGCAAACUCCGCAACCCUUCAUUCUUCGCCUUCAACAAUCCCUCGUCUCCUGCUCCAAGGCAGUUGAAGCUGGUGAUUUUCGUCAAUCGGAAUAAGUAAUUUCUGGGAUUGUUGAGUUUCUCAGCUCAAUUUCUGAUGCUGCUGUUUCAGAUUUUGACGAUAAAGAAACCCAGAACAAUUCAAUCGUUGUUCUCUCUCAUAUUCACUCUUUCCUUUGAAACCCUUCUCUUGAUCAGGCUAUUGUCGAUGCCCUUUCAUUUGAGUUGCCCAAAGCUAUUUCCAAGUUUGCAGGAGUGUCCGAGAGGUCUACACUCCGAGGAUUGCGCCUUAUGCGAGGAAUUUGAUGUGGUUCGUGAGCAAUGGGCUAAGUUUUUUACCAGCAAGUAUUUAUUAUUGGCUUUAGCGCGCUUGAUCGAGUUGGUUUAGUUGUUAUAGAAUAAAUUUUAUAUUAAAAUGUAUGUUUAUGUUGAAAUUGGAACAUAUAUUUAAAUGUAAUAUGUGCACUUUGGUUUUGGGAUAUAUAGUAUACAAAACUCCAGUUGUUGUUUUUAUAUUUGUUA